UACGGCCUCAUCACGAUUAAACAUCGAUUCUCGUACGAUCACUGAAGUUAAGCAACGUCGAGCCUGGUCAGUGCCUAGAUGGGUGACUGCUUGAGAAUACCAGGUACUGUAA